rnacentral:rRNA from 2 species
UCCGGUGGUUAUAGCGUGGGGGAAACGCCCGGUCCCAUCCCGAACCCGGUAGCUAAGACCCACAGCGCUGAUGGUACUGCACUCGGUAGGGUGUGG